UAUAAAAACAACUUUGACCUUACACUGGAGACAUGCUUCAAAAGAUUAAUUAUUCAUAUGAUCAAAAUUGCUCGAAAACAACUACUUGAAAAUAUUCUCAGAAAAAAAAAGGGUAGAUUGUUCUGAGGCAAUAACAUAAUUUUGAUACAACGAACCUGACUGCUAUUUUUUAAAAAAUUCCUGAGGCUUUUUCUUUUUUCCACACUCCUGGAAUACAGAGAAGACCACCUUGAUCACUUAGAGAAUGGGUUCCAAGAAGCUGCAUCAUCAAGCUAAGCUUCAGUCUAUUAUGAUUGCGAAGAAGCAACCCAGAGUGAAGUUGUCAAAUGAUGGUUGAUGUUGGUCAAUCAGAUCUGCGAGAGAAAAAAAGAUCUUCAAGGGAAGAAAAUGUUUAAGAGAAAAAAAAUCAAGUUUCCAGAUUGUACCACAACCAUUGUUUACAAAAGGAGCAACAAACUUCCAUGAUCAAAUGAUUUUCUUGUCUGUCCUGGCAAAUGCAUAAUGUGGUAGGAGUUAAAACUAAGAAUAUAGAAGGUUGAGACAAAGACACUGAGC
ensembl:lncRNA